rnacentral:rRNA from 1 species
UACGGAGGGGGCUAGCGUUGUUCGGAAUUACUGGGCGUAAAGCGCACGUAGGCGGCUUUGCAAGUUAGAGGUGAAAGCCCGGGGCUCAACUCCGGAAUUGCCUUUAAAACUGCAUCGCUAGAAUUGUGGAGAGGUAAGUGGAAUUCCGAGUGUAGAGGUGAAAUUCGUAGAUAUUCGGAAGAACGCCGGUGGCGAAGGCGGCCUGCUGGGCAGUUUUGCUGACACUGAGGCGCGACAGCGUGGGGAGCAAACAGG